CUGGACGCUCAAUGGUGGUAAUUUCAUCUAAGCUAAUACYGGCUGGAGACCGAUAGCGCACAAGUAGAGUGAUCGAAAGAUGAAAAGCACUUUGGAAAGAGAGUYAAAAAGYAYGUGAAAUUGUUGAAAGGGAAGCGCWUGCAACCAGACYUGYCYGYGGGUGAUCAGCCGCCGUUCUCGGUGGUGCACUCGCCUGCGAUCAGGCCAGCAUCGGUUCGGRCGGUCGGAUAAAGGCCCUGGGAAUGUAGCUCCUCUCGGGGAGUCUUAUAGCCCUCGGUGCAAUGCGGCCAGCCCGGACCGAGGACCGCGCUUCGGCUAGGAUGCUGGCGUAAUGGUUGUAAGCGACCCGUCUUGAAACACGGACCAAGGAGUCUAACAUCUAUGCSAGUGUUUGGGUGUUAAACCCAUACGCGGAAUGAAMGUGAACGGAGGUGAGAACCCUUUAGGGCGCAUCAUCGACCGAUCCAGAUGUCUUCKGAUGGAUUUGAGUAUGAGCAUARCUGUUGGGACCCGAAAGAUGGUGAACUAUGCCUGAAUAGGGUGAAGCCAGAGGAAACUCUGGUGGAGGCUCGCAGCGGU
rnacentral:rRNA from 1 species